GGAUGAAGAUAAAAGAAAAGGUAUAAUUAAGCAACAUAUUUUGUUAGUCUUGAAAAAUAGAUAGCUAAAUCAGUUUCACAAACCUCUUAAAUGAAAUACAAAGGUGGAAAAAUAUCGUUGCCUUUUCGAAAAUGAAGAUGCAUAUGGAAACAAUCCAGGAACCAUUUUCGUUUAAGGGUUUCGAUUGUUCCCUACCUAUGGCUGAUAUCAGGACGGCAUUGAGAAAUCACUUCAGUUCAUGUGGACAGAUCUCUCGGAUUUUUGUUCCCACAGAGUGUAAAACCGGUUCUCUUUUGGGAUUUGCUUUCAUAAAUAUGCUGGCGGACGAAAAGAAGGCAUUAGCACUAGAUGGAAGUUACUUGGGAAGUCUGAAGCUUGAGGUUGGAAGGGCUAGUCGUAUAAUUGGAAGUAGAACGCUGUGUUCUCGUUCGAAGAAAGCGUAUGUACCACCGCUUCACUGAAACUAGGGGUGGUCGUAUACAGCCCAGGACAGCUAUGUUCGACAGUAUGAUUGCUGAGCUUGACCAAAAAAAAGCUGAAGCCAAGAAAAGACACUGCUAAAUAUUUU